rnacentral:rRNA from 1 species
UACGUAGGGUGCAAGCGUUGUUCGGAAUUACUGGGCGUAAAGGGCGCGUAGGCGGUCUUGUAAGUCCCGUGUGAAAUCCCUCGGCUCAACUGAGGAACUGCACGGGAAACUGCUUGGCUUGAGUUCGGGAGAGGGAAGCGGAAUUCCGGGUGUAGCGGUGAAAUGCGUAGAUAUCCGGAGGAACACCGGUGGCGAAGGCGGCUUCCUGGACCGACACUGACGCUGAGGCGCGAAAGCUAGGGGAGCAAACGGG